rnacentral:lncRNA from 1 species
GACUGAUAGGAGUAUGUGGAAAUAUGUUUAAGUUAUUUUAUAACGGUGAUGAUAUUAUUCUAAUAUUGGAGAUCUAUAUUAUUAAUAUUAGGUCUUCAAGAGAAGCGUAUUAUAUUGCGUUACGGUAAUCAACGAUUCAGGCAAGUUUUUCAAGUCCUUUUUACUUAAACUUUUUUAAGAGUGGUUUCAGACAGAUAUGCUUAUGAAUUGUACUCUGUACAUAUUGCAUGUAUUCAUCAGGUAUGAAAGGCUGAUCACCUUCAUUACCAGUCAGUUCAGAUAUAAUUGUUAUGUUCAUUUUCAAUGUUCAUUCAGCUUUGAAAUUUUGUUCAUGCUAAUUCACAACUACAUUGUGAAGGAUAGCCAGCUUAUUAUUCAAACUCUUUCAAUCAUG